rnacentral:rRNA from 1 species
AGUAGGACGCACAGUUUAUACCGUAGCUUGCUACACCAUAGACUGUGAGUUGCGAACGGGUGAGUAACGCGUAGGUAACCUGCCUAUUAGAGGGGGAUAACUAUUGGAAACGAUAGCUAAUACCGCAUAACAGUAUGUAACACAUGUUAGAUGCUUGAAAGAUGCAAUUGCAUCGCUAGUAGAUGGACCUGCGUUGUAUUAGCUAGUAGGUAGGGUAAAGGCCUACCUAGGCAACGAUACAUAGCCGACCUGAGAGGGUGAUCGGCCACACUGGGACUGAGACACGGCCCAGACUCCUACGGGAGGCAGCAGUAGGGAAUCUUCGGCAAUGGGGGGAACCCUGACCGAGCAACGCCGCGUGAGUGAAGAAGGUUUUCGGAUCGUAAAGCUCUGUUGUUAAGGAAGAACGAGUGUGAGAAUGGAAAGUUCAUGCUGUGACGGUACUUAACCAGAAAGGGACGGCUAACUACGUGCCAGCAGCCGCGGUAAUACGUAGGUCCCGAGCGUUGUCCGGAUUUAUUGGGCGUAAAGCGAGCGCAGGCGGUUAGAAAAGUCUGAAGUGAAAGGCAGUGGCUCAACCAUUGUAGGCUUUGGAAACUGUUUAACUUGAGUGCAGAA